GACUUCAACUGAAAACGUCAUCAACAACAAAGUUCUAUAAUCCAUCUAGAUCUACAAUUUUUAUUUUGGUCAUUUGUUCAUCCGAUAAAGUGAUUUGUAACAUUGUUCACAAAAUGCAGAUAACUCUGAUAUAGUUUAUAAACUAUAUAAGAGUUAUCUAUAUUUUGUGAACAAUAUUACUAUCGCUUUAUCGGAUGAAGAAAUGACCAAAAUAAAAGUUAUAGAUAUUGAUGAGUUUUACAACUUUGUUGUUGAUGACUUUUUUAGUUGAAAUC
rnacentral:pre_miRNA from 1 species